rnacentral:rRNA from 1 species
UUCUUGAAAAUUAAAAAUUUUGGGGGUAUUUUAGUCUAUUCAGAGGAACCUGUCCUAUAAUCGAUAAUCCACGAGUUUAAAUCGAUUUUCCACGAGUUUAAAUAUCGUCGUGGUUUAUAUAUCGUCGUGGUUUGAAAUUUUAGAAGAAUUUAAAUGUUCAUGAUUUUUUUUAGAUCAAAGUAUAUCAUAUCAAGGUGUAGCUUAUGAAAAAGAAGAGAUGGGUUACAAUAAAUUUAUUUAAAAAGACUAUCUUUUUUAAAGAGAUAGGAAUUUGGAUUUGAAAGUAAUUUUAAUUUUCCAUUAAAGUGAUUUUAGCUCUAAAAUAUGCACAUAUCGCCCGUCACUUUCACUUUAAAGUGAAAUAAGUCGUAACAAAGUAGGCUUACUGGAAAGUGUGCCUAGAAAGUCGAGUUAGAGCUUGUUAUAAAGCAUUUUUUUUACAUUAAAAAGUUAGGGGGGAAAAUCAAUUUAACUUGAGUUAUUUUAAUUAUUAAUAUAUUUAAUUUAUUUUUAGCUUAAAAUAAGAAAAUUAAUGUUUUAGUAUUAUUUCAGAAAAGAUUAAUUUUAUUGUAGUUAAUUAGUACUGUGAAGGAUUUUAUUUUACUUAAGUAAGGGGGAUUUAUUUUUUGUACCUUGGGUAUCAGGGUUUAUUAAUUAAAAUUUAUUUAUAUUGAUUUUCUCGAAUUUAGAAAGAGCUAGUUUUUUAUUAUUUUUAUUGUAGAAUAAAUAUUUGUGAUAUAAAAUAUGUCAUGAAAAUGUUUUCUUUUUGAAAAAUAUCUAGUUUUUUUAAGAAAAAAUUUUAAUUUUUUAAGUAGAUUAUUAUUAGGUUAUCUUUUCAAAUGAGCUUUUCAUUAAAGUUUUAUAAGAAAAUUAGUUUUAUUAUAAAUUUUUAGGAUUAGAAGUUUUCAUUUUUAGAAUAAUGUUAUAAUUAAUUUAUGAUUUUUAUAAUGUUAUAAUAUACUUUAAAGUUUUAUUAAAAUAAAAAUUUAAAUUUUAUAAAUUUUGUAAUUAUGAUAGAAUUAGUAUAUUGACUUGUAAGUUUGAUUUUUAAUUUUAGGUUAAAUAAAGGAAUUCGGCAAAAUAAUUUUUCACCUGUUUAUUAAAAACAUGGCCUUUUGAUUUUAAUUUAAGGUCUAGCCUGCCCACUGAGGAUUUAAUGGCCGCGGUACUCUGACGUGCAAAGGUAGCAUAAUCAUUAGUUUUAAUUGAAAGCUGGAAUGAAUGGCUGGAUGAGAAAAUUACUGUCUCUGUUUAAUUUUUUAUAGAAUUUUAUAUUUAAGUAAAAAAGCUUAAAUUUUUUUAAAAGACGAGAAGACCCUAUAGAGUUUGAUAUAAGAAUUUAUUUUAUUUUUUAGUAUUAUU